CAGUAGCCGCGGUAAUACGUAGGGUGCAAGCGUUAAUCGGAAUUACUGGGCGUAAAGCGUGCGCAGGCGGUUUGUUAAGGCAGAUGUGAAAUCCCCGGGCUCAACCUGGGAACUGCAUUUGUGACUGGCAAGCUAGAGUGUGGCAGAGGGGGGUGGAAUUCCGCGUGUAGCAGUGAAAUGCGUAGAUAUGCGGAGGAACACCGAUGGCGAAGGCAGCCCCCUGGGCCAACACUGACGCUCAUGCACGAAAGCGUGGAGAGCAAACAGGAUUAGAUACCCGGGUAGUCCCUGUCUCUUAUAC
rnacentral:rRNA from 1 species